GGGGGCGACCUGGCUUCGACAGGGUCGAUCGCGCGGAUGGGUCGCGAGCCGAGGAUGGUGGUUGGCCUCGUAAAUCAGUCCACCAAACCCAUACAUGCGACUCACACUGAUGAGCACAUGCUCGCCAUGGCUGCCUGAUAGGUAGCACUGGCGUUGGCCCCGGCGGGCUCGGCCAGUAGUACCGCCGCCGGCCUCAACAUCACUGGCCUGCUGGUGCCGCAGGCUUCCUCGGCGGCACCGGGACUUCCAGGAGGGGGAUGGGUCCGGCUGGCCGGUCGACGGGGCAGGUCGGAUCCGAGAUCGUACUGUCGACUACGCUCGUAGACGCCCAUGCCAAGCCGGCACUGGACGCGGGUUCGAUUCCCGCCGCCUCCACUG
rnacentral:tmRNA from 1 species